UCGGAUGAUGAUGAUCAGGAGGGCCGAA
rnacentral:piRNA from 1 species